GUGGCAUCUCAAAAAUGAUUGCAGGUAUGGCUGCUGUGUCAUACAUGCAUCAGUAGGUGGCAAAGAGGAGAGAGGCUAUAUUUAAGUAUAGUGUUCUGACCUAUGAACAUUGAAAUGAUUACUAGCCUAACAUU